rnacentral:tRNA from 1 species
GUGGCGAAGGUAACUGUUGGUUUUGUUACACCUGCCUGUAAAGCAGGCGCUUCGGCUUCGGGGGUUCAAUUCCCUCUCGCCACAC